CCGAGGAGGACCACGACCACGGGCUGAGCGUCAUUGAGUGGUGAACAUGCAUCGGGAGUUCGCACUUGUACCGAUCAUGCAAAAAAGGGCUACCCGCGGGCGUAGAUUGUCUGUGACCGACGCACAAAGGGAAUUUUAAACCACAGACUACCCACGAAGAAAGUCCUGUGAAUGAGUUUUCGGACAGGGGUUCGAUUCCCCUCGGAUCCACCA
rnacentral:tmRNA from 1 species